UCGAGAAUCUUUCGCAAUGGACGAAAGUCUGACGAAGCGACGCCUCGUGAGUGAUGAAGGCCUACGGGUUGUAAAGCUCUUUUGUCAGGGAACAAGAGAAGAGGGUUAAUAGCUUUCUAUCUGAGUGUACCUGAAGAAUAAGCACCGGCUAACUCCGUGCCAGCAGCCGCGGUAAUACGGAGGGUGCAAGCAUUACUCGGAAUAAUUGGGCGUAAAGGGCGCGUAGGCGGCCCUGUAAGUCAGGAGUAAAAUUCCAGAGCUUAACUCUGGAGCUGCUCUUGAAACUGCAUGGGCUUGAGGUUAGGAUGUGAAAGUAGAAUUCCACGUGUAGCGGUGAAAUGCGUAGAUAUGUGGAAGAAGACCUGUAGCGAAAGCGACUUUCAGAACUACACCUGACGCUGAGGCGCGAAAGCGUGGGGAGCAAACAGG
rnacentral:rRNA from 1 species